AUUUGCUCAGGCCAAUCUACACCCCAUGGCCAUUAAAAGUUAUUCAAAUCAUGACGCUGCACCCCACGGUUAAGGUUCUAGGGGGCGCCAAAGACAACCCUAAAAUCCACAUAUUUAAAAGUCUUAUAACUUUUUAUUUUUGUCCUCACUGGCCUCCAAGUUUUCUAGGAUGAUGCAAUGUCCAGCCAUCAAGACAUUUGUGAAGGAAUUUUUACUCCCCAAAAGAGCGCCCCCCCAUGGCAGGAGAAAAAAGUCCAUUUUUUCUUGUCCCCUAAGGUGAAAAUACAUAUUGUUGAGAUUCACGCCUAUACGCUUUGUCAUAAUGACACAAAAUUUGACAAUCACAUGUAUCUCAAUAAGAUCUACGAAAAAGUCAAUGCGCGCGUAUCUGUCAAAUGUACGGUUAAAGGGUUAUUCCGCAUUUUUUGCCGAUCCGCACACAUUGGAAUGUGGCUAACUCCUCCUAAGGCUUUCGUUCCACCGGCACCACAUUUGCUCAGGCCAAUCUACACCCCAUGGCCAUUAAAAGUUAUUCAAAUCAUGACGCUGCACCCCACGGUUAAGGUUCUAGGGGGCGCCAAAGACAACCCUAAAAUCCACAUAUUUAAAAGUCUUAUAACUUUUUAUUUUUGUCCUCACUGGCCUCCAAGUUUUCUAGGAUGAUGCAAUGUCCAGCCAUCAACACAUUUGUGAAGGAAUUUUUACUCCCCAAAAGAGCGCCCCCCCAUGGCAGGAGAAAAAAGUCCAUUUUUUCUUGUCCCCUAAGGUGAAAAUACAUAUUGUUGAGAUUCACGCCUAUACGCUUUGUCAUAAUGACACAAAAUUUGACAAUCACAUGCCUUGCCUGGUAUCAUUUUUUUUCAGCACAACCUCACCUGUGCGAAUUUACAGUUAUUUUAUCAUGUUGACAUACUGAAUUUACACAAUGGACCCAAAUUCACACACAAAACAUAAAAUCCGAGUGGAAAAAAGUAACAUUUUUACUGUGAAAACCACAAAUAUGUGUGAUGAACUGUUUUUAAAACUUAAACUUCAAAUAAAAAUUGUAAACUUCAAAACAUAUGCAAAUUUUUAAUGAAGAACAUAGUGAUUUACCUCUAUUUACAUCAAAAUGCAGGCAAUGGCCCAGGCGUUCUUUGUAAAAUUAUUUACAAAACACUGUAUAGUCUCACAAAUGUCACUUUUUAUUUAUGCCACUACAAAAAAACAUGAUGUAAAUGAUGCAUGAUGUAAAACAUGAUGUAAAAAACUUGUGUAGAUCCUCCUCUAUGUCAGUCCAUGUGUAAUUUUUCCAUAAUUCUUUGUUUUUUGCAGCAUUUUUGUUAGUGUAACUGCAGAUUGUGCUGACAGUGUCUAUGGCACACAAAAAAAAAAAAAUUAAAAUGCCUCAACAUGAACCCCUGGUGGUCUCUGAGGGUGAAACCUGCUAACUGCUGCAGCUCUGUCAGCUUCAGUCUCCCAUGCAGAGCUCUGAGCGCAUGUGUGGCUCUGCACCCUUAGCAGCGUUGCUAACUCCUCAGUAAGGAAAGCCUGCUUCAUGUCAGAGUCUCUAAACUCCAGAAGAAGUCGAUAAAAGUCCCUUUCUUUCUAAAAAAAAGUCGUUAGGGGGUCUGAAAAGUCAUUGAAUCUAACAACAAAGUCGCUAGGUUUGCAACUACGUGUCCCAGACUGCAUCCCUGCUGAGAGUCCCUCCCUCGCUUCUCAUGUUGCAGGAAGAACGUAAGCACCCGCCCCUUGUCAAUCAGUCACCAUAUAAUUUUGGAUUGGUUGUUGUGGUGAAGUUUUCCACCAAUAGGAGAGAUGUUGUGGUGUGUUUUUUUUUUUCUUUUGGCAAGCCUUUUCCGCCUGUAAGACCUGUCGCUAAUGUCUGCAUGCUAUGUUUUCCUGUCUCAUACAGCGCGAUCGAGCGCCGAACGUGAUCAAAAUAAGCAGAAAACAAGUAUCGCGGACAUAAUUUAUCAUAACUCUGGUUUUAUUUGGCCUAUCAACACAAUUUAAAAACUGGUAUAUAGGUUGAGGUCCUCACUUUUGAGAUAAGUUGAAACGGAGAGUCAACGAGGCUCCGUCUUGCAGCUACAUCCGGUUAAAUAUGUCAUGUGACUUGAACGCACACACAGACACACACACACGCACACACACACACACACAGACACACACACACACUCAGAGUCUGGUUUUUAGCACCUGCAAAAACAUGCUAUUUACAUAUUUGACAAGAAUGCAGAGGCUCCUUUUGCCCCUGAAAAAAAUCAAAUUUCAAACACAACUUGACUGGUCAUUUCUCCAAAAGACAACCAUGAAGCUCCAUCCAAACCUGAAGCAGGCAGUUGGUGCAUGUGUACAGUAACCUGAGGGGAGUGAGGUGAGUGCUUCUGAGGAGAACAUGAGCAGUGAAGAUUCACCUUGGAGCUAGAACAGAGACAUGCACAUGAUUAUACAGGGGCAGGGGCUCAAGUUUUUUCCAGUCGUUUAUACAAUAUGGAAAUUAAUGUGAAAUUAAAACACAAAGUAUUAAUAGAAAGGUAAUGACUGUCCUGUGUAGGUGACAGUGAUAUCCAAUAGGCUAGGCACUCACGAGGCUGGCUGUGGCAAGUGUAAGUGAAAGCAACACGCACUGGCAAGAAGAACAGCAAACGCCGAUGAAGGAAAAGGGUCUUUGCAGUGAUGGGCGUUACCAGAGAGGGCGAUGGCCAGAGGACACAAAUGGGACGGGGAGGCAGCACGUUGGGGGGGGGACGCGACAUGGCUCGGGCCCGCCAGUGCCCCAACGGGGUCCUAGUUAUUAUUUUUCUGCCCCUUUGAACUGGAAAAUGGCCCACUUCCCACUGGUGAAAAGUCAUGAAAUUUGGCAGGACGACCGGGCCUGGUGAAAAAUUCGAUAUUCUGAAGUCGCCCAAAAAAUCAAAUGCAAAAUGGCUCCAUAGCGCCCCCUAAGGUGAAAAAUUCACAUGAUUGAGUGUCACGCCUGUACGCUUUGUCAAAAUGACACAAAAUUUGACACACACGUGUAUCUCAAUAAGAUCUACAAAAAAGUCAGUGCGGGCGUAUCUGUCAAAUGUACGGUUAAAGGGCUAUUUCGCAUUUUUUGCCGAUCCGCACACAUUGGAAUUUCGCUAACUCCUCCGAAGGCUUUCGUUCCACCGGCACCAAAUUUGCUCAGGCCAAUCUACACCCCAUGGCCAUUAAAAGUUGUACAAAUCAUGACGCUGCAUCCCACGGUUUACGUUCUAGGGGGCGCCAAAGAUAACCCAGAAAUCCACAUUCUUAAAAGUCGUAUAACUUUUUAUUUUUGUCCUCACUGGCCUCCAAGUUUUCUAGGAUGAUGCAAUGUCCAGCCAUCAACACAUUUGUGAAGGAAUUUUUACUCCCCAAAAGAGCGCCCCCCCAUGGCAGGAGAAAAAAGUCCAUUUUUUCUUGUCUCCUAAGGCGAAAAUUCACACUAUUGACUGUCACGCCUUUACGCUUUGUCAUAUUGACACAAAAAUUGACACACACAUGUAUCUCAAUAAGAUCUACAAAAAAGUCAGUGCGGGCGUAUCUGUCAAAUGUACGGUGAAAGGGCUAUUUCGCAUUUUUUGCCGAUCCGCACACAUUGGAAUUUCGCUAACUCCUCCGAAGGCUUUCGUUCCAAAGGCACCACAUUUGCUGAGGCCAAUCUACACCCCAUGGCCAUUAAAAGUUGUACAAAUCAUGACGCUGCACCCCACGGUUUACGUUCUAGGGGGCGCCAAAGAUAACCCAAAAAUCCACAGUCUUAAAAGUCUUAUAACUUUUUAUUUUUGUCCUCACUGGCCUCCAAGUUCUCUAGGAUGAUGCAAUGUCCAGCCAUCAACACAUUUGUGAAGGAAUUUUUACUCGCCAAAAGAGCGCCCCCCAUGGCAGGAGAAAAAAGUCCAUUUUUUCUUGUCUCCUAAGGCGAAAAUACACAUUGUUGACUGUCACGCCUUUACGCUUUGUCAAAAUGACACAAAAUUUGACAAUCACAUGUAUCUCAAUAAGAUCUACAAAAAAGUCAGUGCGGGCGUAUCUGUCAAAUGUACGGUUAAAGGGUUAUUUCGCAUUUUUUGCCGAUCCGCACACAUUGGAAUUUCGCUAACUCCUCCUAAAUCUUUUGUCCCAUCGGCUUCAAAUUUGCUCAGGUCAAUCUACACCCCAUGGCCAUUCAAAGUUGUACAAAUCAUGACGCUGCACCCCACAGUUUACGUUCUAGGGGGCGCCAAAGAGGACCCAAAUAUCCACAUUUUUAAAAGUCUUAUAACUUUUUAUUUUUGUCCUCACUGGCCUCCAAGUUUUCUAGGAUGAUGCAAUGUCCAGCCAUCAACACAUUUGUGAAGGAAUUUUUUCUCCCCAAAAGAGCGCCCCCCCAUGGCAGGAGAAAAAGUCAAGUUUUUCCUGCCCAUCGCUCAAUGGCUCAAACGCAUCGCUCUCUCUGCAAAACCAAAAGGAGGAGCAACUUGCCAUUUGGAUAUAUCGUAGCUGUGUUUGUGCCCUCACUCAUGGUCCAGACUUUUUUCAAAUAGGACAUGUAGUUUGUCUGCAGCGAGCGUUUUGGUAGAAACUGCGCCUCCCAUUCAUUAUAAUGGGAAAUGACCACAGACAAGUGCGCACACCAUCUUUGGACCUUGAGUGUGACGCGAUCGGGAGGGGGAGGCGGUCGCGCUGGGGGCGGCGCGACGCGGCUCGGGCCCGACAGUGCCCCACCGGGGCCCUAGUUAUUAGGGCCCGAGCGUAGCUGCUAAGCAGCUGCGAGAGCCCUCUUGUUCCUGCAUGUUUCCUUCUUUCGUUAUUAUUUUUCCUCCGCUUUAAACUGGAAAAUGGCCCACUUCCCACUGGCGAAAACUCAGGAAAUUUGGCAGGACGACCGGGCCUGGUGAAAAAUUCGAUAUUCUGAAGUCGCCCAAACAAUAAAAUGCAAAAUGGCUCCAUAGCGCCCCCUAAGGUGAAAAUUCACAUGACGGCUUUACGCUUUGUCAUAUUGACACAAAAAUUGACACACACAUGUAUCUCAAUAAGAUCUACAAAAAAGUCAGUGCGGGCGUAUCUGUCAAAUGUACGGUUAAUGGGUUAUUUUGCAUUUUUUGCAGAUCUGCACACAUUGGAAUUUCGCUAACUCCUCCGAAGGCUUUCGUUCCACCGGCACCACAUUUGCUCAGGCCAAUCUACACCCCAUGGCCAUUAAAAGUUAUUCAAAUCAUGACGCUGCACCCCACGGUUUAGGUUCUAGGGGGCGCCAAAGAUAACCCUAAAAUCCACAUAUUUCAAAGUCUUAUAACUUUUUCUUUUUGUCCUCACUGGCCUCCAAGUUUUCUAGGAUGAUGCAAUGUCCAGCCAUCAACACAUUUGUGAAGGAAUUUUUACUCCCUAAAAGAGCGCCCCCCCAUGGCAGGAGAAAAAAGUCAAUUUUUUCUUGUCCCGUAAGGUGAAAAUUCACAUUGUUGAGUGUGACACCUGUACGCUUUGUCAUAUUGACACAAAAUUUGACAAUCACGUGUAUCUCAAUAAGAUCUACGAAAAAGUCAAUGGGUGCGUAUCUGUCAAAUGUACGGUUAGAGGGCUAUUUUGCAUUUUUUGCCGAUUCGCACACAUUGGAAUGUGGCUAACUCCUCCUAAGGCUUUCGUCCCACUGAAACUAAAUUUGCUCAGGCCAAUCUACACCCCAUGGCCAUUCAAAGUUGUAAAAAUCAUGACGCUGCACCCCACGGUUUACGUUCUAGGGGGCGCCAAAGAUGACCAAAAAAUCCACAUUCUUAAAAGAAUCCACAUUCUCCCCCCCCAUGGCAGGAGAAAAAGUCAAGUUUUUCCUGCCCAUCGCUCAAUGGCUCAAUCGCAUCGCUCUCCAGGCAACACCGUAUCCAGGAGCAACCUGCCAUUUGGAUAUAUCCCAGCUGUGUUUGUGCCCUCACUCAUGGUCCAGACUUUUUUCAAAUAGGACAUGAAGUUUGUCUGCAGCGAGUGUUUUGGUAGAAACUGCGCCUCCCAUUCAUUAUAAUGGGAAAUGACCACAGACAAGUGCGCACACCAUCUUUGGACCUUGAGUGUGACGCGAUCGGGAGGGGGAGGCGGUCACGCUGGGGGCGGCACAACGCGGCUCGGGCCCGACAGUGCCCCACCGGGGCCCUAGUUAUUAUUAUUAUUAUUUUUCCUCCCCUUUGAACUGGAAAAUGGCCCACUUCCCACUGGCGAAAACUCAUGAAAUUUGGCAGGACGACCGGGCCUGGUGAAAAAUUUGAUAUUCCGAAGUCGCCCAAACAAGAAAAUGCAAAAUGGCUCCAUAGCGCCCCCUAAGGUGAAAAUUCACACUAUUGACUGUCACGCCUGUACGCUUUGUCAAAAUGACACAAAAAUUGACACACACAUGUAUCUCAAUAAGAUCUACGAAAAAGUCAGUGCGGGCGUAUCUGUCAAAUGUACGGUUAAAGGGUUAUUUCGCAUUUUUUGCCGAUCCGCACACAUUGGAAUUUCGCUAACUCCUCCGAAGGCUUUCGUUCCACCGGCACCACAUUUGCUCAGGCCAAUCUACACCCCAUGGCCAUUAAAAGUUAUUCAAAUCAUGACGCUGCACCCCACGGUUUAGGUUCUAGGGGGCGCCAAAGAUAACCCUAAGAUCCACAUAUUUAAAAGUCUUAUAACUUUUUAUUUUUGCCCUCACUGGCCUCCAAGUUUUCUAGGAUGAUGCAAUGUCCAGCCAUCAACACAUUUGUGAAGGAAUUUUUACUCCCCAAAAGAGCGCCCCCCCAUGGCAGGAG
rnacentral:lncRNA from 1 species